rnacentral:rRNA from 1 species
GAGUAACGCGUGGGAACGUGCCCUUCUCUACGGAAUACUCCCGGGAAACUGGGUUUAAUACCGUAUACCCCCUUCGGGGGAAAGAUUUAUCGGAAAGGGAUCGGCCCGCGUUAUUUUGGGUUUGUGGGGGGGUAGUGGCCUACCAAGCCUACUAUCUAUAUGUGGUUUGAGAGGAUGAUCAGCCACUGUGGCUCUGAGACACGGCCCACACUCCUACGGGGGGCAACAGGGGGGAAUCUUACACAGUGGGGGCAACCCUGAUCUACCCAUGCCGCGUGAGUGAUGAAGGUCUUAGGGUCAUAAAUCUCUUUCCCUGGAGAAGAUAAUGACUGUACCCAGUAAAAAAACCCCGGCUAACUCCGUGCCAGCCCCCGCGGUAAUACAGAGGGGGUUAGCGUUGUUCAGAAUUACUGGGCGUAAAGCGCGCGUACGCAGAUUGAAAAGUUGGGGGAGAAAUCCCGGGUCUCACCCUCAGAACUGCCUCCAAAACUCCCACUCUUGAUUUCGAGAGAGGUGAGUGGAACUCCGAGUGUAGAGGUGAAAUUCAUAGAUAUUCAGAAGAACACCAGUGGCGAGCGCGGCUCACUGUCUCGAUACUGA